rnacentral:rRNA from 1 species
CCUACGGGCGGCAGCAGUGAGGAAUCUUGGUCAAUGGGCGCGAGCCUGAACCAGCCAAGUAGCGUGAAGGAUGACUGCCCUACGGGUUGUAAACUUCUUUUAUAAAGGAAUAAAGUGAGGCACGUGUGCCUUUUUGUAUGUACUUUAUGAAUAAGGAUCGGCUAACUCCGUGCCAGCAGCCGCGGUAAUACGGUGGAUCCGAGCGUUAUCCGGAUUUAUUGGGUUUAACGGGAGCGUAGAUGGGUGGUUAAGUCAGUUGUGAAAGUUUGCGGCUCAACCGGAAAAUUGCAAUUGAUACUGGCAGACUUGAGUACAGUUGAGGUAGGCGGAAUUCGGGGUGUAGCGGUGAAAUGCGUAGAUAUAACGAAGAACACCGAUGGCGAAGGCAGCUUACUAAACUGUCACUGACAUUGAGGCUCGAAAGUGUGGGUAGCAAACAGGAUUAGAUACCCGAGUAGUC